rnacentral:misc_RNA from 1 species
ACGUAUCUCUGACGGUGAGGGUGCGCCCCGCUCCGGGUCCGAAAGGCCUGUGCAGCGUGCGGGCCCGAUCCGCUCAACCCCUUACAAACCCACCGUGCACAUUUGUCGGCGGAGGGCCCGGUCAAAUGGGCCCCGAGCCGGACCCACAAACUCCAAGCAUUAAAAGAAUGACUAGCGGAUGUUGUUCCGUCUAAACUUUAA